UACGUAGGGUGCGAGCGUUGUCCGGAAUUACUGGGCGUAAAGAGCUCGUAGGUGGUUUGUCGCGUUGUUCGUGAAAACUCACAGCUCAACUGUGGGCGUGCGGGCGAUACGGGCAGACUGGAGUACUGCAGGGGAGACUGGAAUUCCUGGUGUAGCGGUGGAAUGCGCAGAUAUCAGGAGGAACACCAGUGGCGAAGGCGGUUGCCUGGAGCUUUGCUGACGCUGAUGCGCGAAAGCGUGGGGAGCGAUCCGG
rnacentral:rRNA from 1 species